AAACCGCUUAGGGGUUAAGCCCGAUGAACCCGAAUAUCCGAUGUGAGAAAUUCAAUACGGUUGGAAUUGUACGCUUGCGUAUGAUUUCAAUUGUAUGCACUUUUCUCAUAGUAGGACAUUGUAAUCCAUUAAUGUUAUAACUAGUUUACGCUAGUUGAUUUAACAUACGGACAGAGCAUUAAGCUUAUUCUAUCUGUGAUAUGAAUACAUGUCAUAUGAAUAAAUUUGUUUUGUUACCUGUUUAAAUAGUUGAUGGAUUUAAUAACGAUCAUGCUUGCAUUCGUUGCGUUUCGUACUAUUGAUUUCGAUCGGUGGUAGCAGAAAUGGCAUGUAUCUGAUUAACAAUGCGAUAGAUUUGGGAUGCCCUCGGGACCCGUCUUGAAACACGGACCAAGGAGUCUAACAUAUGUGCAAGUCAUUGGGUAUUUUGUUGAAACCUAUUGGCGUAAUUAAAAUGACUAUAUUUUAAUUUGGGAUCACGAGUGGUCUUCAAUUAUGGGCCGCUCUUUAAUCCCGGGGCGUUCUAUUCGAACAUGAUGCAGGCGACUGUGUCCUCUGUUCAAGAGCGUACCUUGAGCAUAUAUGCUGU
rnacentral:rRNA from 1 species